rnacentral:rRNA from 1 species
CUACCAGGAGGCAGCAGUGGGGAAUAUUGCACAAUGGGCGCAAGCCUGAUGCAGCCAUGCCGCGUGUAUGAAGAAGGCCUUCGGGUUGUAAAGUACUUUCAGCAGUGAGGAAGGUGGGUAUGUUAAUAGCAUAUCAUUUGACGUUAGCUGCAGAAGAAGCACCGGCUAACUCCGUGCCAGCAGCCGCGGUAAUACGGAGGGUGCGAGCGUUAAUCGGAAUUACUGGGCGUAAAGCGCAUGCAGGUGGUUUGUUAAGUCAGAUGUGAAAGCCCGGGGCUCAACCUCGGAAUUGCAUUUGAAACUGGCAAACUAGAGUACUGUAGAGGGGGUAGAAUUUCAGGUGUAGCGGUGAAAUGCGUAGAGAUCUGAAGGAAUACCGGUGGCGAAGGCGGCCCCCUGGACAGAUACUGACACUCAGAUGCGAAAGCGUGGGGAGCAAACAGGAUUAGAUACCCUGGUAG